GCGAGAUCACUCUCUGAGUCGGUAAUGGAGCUGAAGGGAAAGAAAACUGUUUCUCUUCAGAAGGCCCAAGUUGCAUCUAAAAAUUUUUCUAUUCAUCUGUAUGGUUAAGGUUCAAAUCCUUACCUGAUUAGUAGUAGAACCAGAGAUCAAAUCUCAAAUAAUCUGAUAUAAAUCUUCAUGAAGGCCUGGAUGUGCAAAUCCUUUACUUCGCAUGCAUGUAAGAGGCCACA
rnacentral:lncRNA from 1 species